rnacentral:lncRNA from 1 species
CUUAAAUACAACAUGAGCAACAAACAAUUUAGAUUUUCACCAUGCCAAGUCAAAUCACUCUUCUUAACCCAAACUUUCCGAGAGGUCAAGGUGAUCUUAGUCAAUUUUGUCAUCAUCUCAAUUAAGUGAAUGACCUAAUUGGAAAGUUCUACUCUUAUUCUCAAGCUUAUGACACCUAGACCUCGUGUGUCCCAAAGCUCCACGAUUAUGGGAAGUAUGUAUAAGCCUAGGUUCAAAGGCACGUGAUUGUUGAUAAUGAUUUUUAGGAGCGGGAUCUAACAUGCUCUAGUGGUCAUCUAUUUCGAGAUACAUUUGCCCUUGGGUUCAGGAUUAGCAUUAGUACCAGAUUUGUUAGAGGUAGGGACGAAUGUAGUCUUGUAUGAACUGGCCAUGUUACUAUCACUCUUAACAAAUCAUAGACAUCGCCUAUUCCCAAUUGCUUUGUUCAUUCCUAAUAGGUCUUCUAGUUUCUUAGUGCCAUUCAUGAACUACUGGAGUAGAGUAUUUGAUUUUUCUCUAAGUCACUAGUCAAUGUCUUAACCUUGUCUUUUAAUUUCGCAUUGACAUGCCUCAACUCACUACGGCUAUUGGACGAGUCCUGAA